AAUGGGUGAGGUUUUCUAAAUUCCAAACCAGUGAAUCAGAGAGGCUAUAAGUAGAGGGUGAAUACCUAAUUCAUCAAUAUCCUGUGAAGUUCCCACAAAAGUGCAUUUUUUCUAUUCCAUCCUACAUCAGGAACAUCAACAUGAGUGACCCAGCAGUACCAAAGGUUCCUCAGGAAGGAGUUGCAGGAGAAGGAGGAUCUGUUGAUGAGGGAAAGAAAAAGGGACAAGGAAAAGGAG